CAACAACAGACUCGGUGAAAUUGUAAUUCCGGUGAAGAUGCCGGAUACCUGCGACAGGACGGAAAGACCCCAUGGAGCUUUACUGUAGCUUGACAUUGGGUCUUGGUACUACAUGUACAGGAUAGGUGGGAGGCUUUGAAACCAGGACGCCAGUUUUGGCGGAGCCAUCCUUGGGAUACCACCCUUGUAGUACUGGGACUCUAACCAUAGGCCAUGAAUCUGGUCUUGGGACACUGUCAGGUGGGCAGUUUGACUGGGGCGGUCGCCUCCCAAAAGGUAACGGAGGCGCUCAAAGGUUCUCUCAGUACGGUCGGAAAUCGUACGUAGAGUGUAAAGGCAAAAGAGAGCUUGAUUGCAAGACAUACAGGUCGAGCAAGGAUGAAAAUCGGACUUAGUGAUCCGGUGGUUCUGCGUGGAAGGGCCAUCGCUCAACGGAUAAAAGCUACCCUGGGGAUAACAGGCUUAUCUCCCCCAAGAGUCCACAUCGACGGGGAGGUUUGGCACCUCGAUGUCGGCUCAUCACAUCCUGGGGCUGUAGUAGGUCCCAAGGGUUGGGCUGUUCGCCCAUUAAAGUGGUACGCGAGCUGGGUUCAGAACGUCGUGAGACAGUUCGGUCCCUAUCCGUCGCAGGCGUAGGAAAUUUGAGAAGACCUGUCCUUAGUACGAGAGGACCGGGAUGGACGUACCUCUGGUGUACCAGUUGUCCUGCCAAGGGCAUGGCUGGGUAGCUAUGUACGGAAUGGAUAAGCGCUGAAAGCAUCUAAGCGCGAAGCCAACUUCAAGAUAAGAUUUCCCACCGCAAGGGUAAGACCCCAGAAAGACUAUCUGGUUGAUAGGUCGAAGGUGUAAGUGCAGCAAUGUAUUUAGCUUAUCGAUACUAAUAGGUCGAGGACUUGACCAAU
rnacentral:rRNA from 1 species